AACGUAGGAGACAAACGUUAUCCGGAUUUAUUGGGCGUAAAGGGCGCGCAGGCGGUCGCGCACGUCCGUUGUGAAAUCGCUCGGCUCAACUGGGCGGGGUCAGCGGAUACGGCGUGGCUGGAGCAAGCUAGGGGGCAAUGGAAUUCCCGGUGUAGUGGUGGAAUGCGUAGAUAUCGGGAGGAACACCAGUGGCGAAGGCGGUUGCCUGGAGCUUUGCUGACGCUGAUGCGCGAAAGCCAGGGGAGCAAACGGG
rnacentral:rRNA from 1 species